rnacentral:rRNA from 1 species
UACGUAGGGGGCAAGCGUUGUCCGGAUUUAUUGGGCGUAAAGAGCGUGUAGGCGGCCAUACAGGUCAGCUGUGAAAACUCGAGGCUCAACCUCGAGACGUCGGUUGAAACCGUUUGGCUAGAGUCCGGAAGAGGAGAGUGGAAUUCCUGGUGUAGCGGUGAAAUGCGCAGAUAUCAGGAAGAACACCAAUGGCGAAAGCAGCUUUCUGGGACGGUACUGACGCUGAGACGCGAAAGCGUGGGGAGCGAACAGG